GGGAUGAGCUAUAAGGUUCCUUCCAAUCCAAACCAUUCUAUGAUAUGUUUCAUCUUCUUUCUGAAUAUGCUUCAUGGAUGUACAGCAAGUGGCCCGAUGCAUUUUGCGUAUCUGCACAGCCACACAAUGGAUAGCUCAUAGUCUGGGGCUGAAUGGCACAUUCUAUUUGAUCUGGAAUGGAAAUUUUCCCAGGUUUUUGCACCAAACUUGUGGUAGGAUGCCUGGCAAGUGGUGGCCAAAGUGACACCAGGAAAAGAGAGAGGGUAUUUGACAACCUUGGUCAUGAUGGGUGAGUCCAGUGAGCAACACUGGUCAUCACCUCUCUCCUUGUUUGUCCCUGUGCCUCUCCAGGGGUCAGCACUGGUGGGCCAGGUAAGCUGUAAGCAGGGACCAUGCCUGUGUGGUAAGCACCUGGCUGGGACCGGCAGCUUGUGCUGGUGAGUUCUAGUACUUUUGGUGGCACAGAGGUCCAGUUCUGAACAGAGCUGAGGAGUAUUCCUGACAUCUAGUUCAUGGAAUCAUAAGAUCAUAGAACCAGUUAACUCAUCCCAGCAGACCAUGCUUCAGUCCCAAGCUUUGACAAGCACGGAAGCCCAGACUGUGGCAGAGGCCUUGUGUCCUGGAAACCCCAUCUUUGCAUAAGAGGGGAGGCCUGCAGGGUUCACUGGCACUGUGACAGGGAACAAGGCUUGGCCUUGGCUGUGCAGUUGCUCCCUUUGGAAGUGUUUUUCCGUGUCUCAGCUGGUGCAGAUUGUGCUGGUCUCAGUGACAUGUGGAGACUGUUACACACAGAUCGAGCACAGCAUGCCAGCUUCUUUUCUGUCUCCUUAGCUGUUUUACAAUGACUUCCCAAUUCAAUUGUUAACAUUUUUCAUAACUAUAUUGGAGCAGCUGCAUCAGUCUGGAAUUUGUACACAUGUUCUGGAUUUUGCAAUGUUUCUAACUCACAUGGGGCACCUCUCACAAACUGUUUUCUCCAUGGAGAGAAUCCUUGAAGCCAGCCAGCAUUGCUGAUGGUACUGCAGCCCCUGCUGGAGUGAUGAUCUUCCUCAGGUAACCAGCUCCUUCUCCAGCCUCUGCUGGGGAGGAGGUCUGGUCUGGAGAGUGAAAACAGCUUUGCUACUUGGAGAGGCGUCCACAAAAGAGCAAAGCUCUAAGGACAGUUCCCUACAUUGUGCCCCACAAGUGCUUUUCAGCAGUGUAACAUCAACUCUGCCUGUGUACCGAUCACAGUGGGUCCUGCUCUGUGCUGGGGCCUUUAGGCGCCACCACGAAUAACAAAUACGAUUUUCUCUUUAUACUUGUCUCCUUCAUCUCCAACCAUGCUGCAGUGCC